GAUGAAGAACGCAGCGAAAUGCGAUAAGUAAUGUGAAUUGCAGAAUUCAGUGAAUCAUCGAAUCUUUGAACGCACAUUGCGCCCGCCAGUAUUCUGGCGGGCAUGCCUGUUCGAGCGUCAUUUCAACCCUCAGGGCCCUUUUGGACCUGGCGUUGGGGCUCGGCCGCUACCCUGCGGCCGUCCCCGAAAGAUAGUGGCGGUCUCGCUGUAGCCUCCUCUGCGUAGUAGUUACAUCUCGCACUGGAACGCGGCGCGGCCAUGCCGUUAAACACCCCACUUCUCAAGGUUGACCUCGGAUCAGGUAGGAAUACCCGCUGAACUUAAGCAUAUCAAUAGCGGAGGA
rnacentral:misc_RNA from 1 species